rnacentral:lncRNA from 1 species
CUGACUACUGAAAUAAACUACUCAAGAGCUGUCAGAGAAUGAGAAUUUAAGGCUAAAACAUAAUAAGAAUUCGAAUCAAUUUUCAUAUGCAGGAGACUUACGGUGUUAAGACGAUACCGAUCUUGUGAAUUUUUCCCAAGUCUCCGCAAACUAAUCUCAAAUUAGUUAGUCUAUAGCCUAAAACUUUCAAGAAAAUGCAUUUUUU